rnacentral:rRNA from 1 species
UCAUGGCCCUUACGGCCAGGGCUACACACGUGCUACAAUGGUCGGUACAAAGGGUUGCUACACAGCGAUGUGAUGCUAAUCUCAAAAAGCCGAUCGUAGUCCGGAUUGGAGUCUGCAACUCGACUCCAUGAAGUCGGAAUCGCUAGUAAUCGCGGAUCAGAAUGCCGCGGUGAAUACGUUCCCGGGCCUUGUACACACCGCCCGUCACACCAUGGGAGUUUGUUGCACCAGAAGUAGCUAGCCUAACUGCAAAGAGGGCGGUUACCACGGUGUGGCCGAUGACUGGGGUGAAGUCGUAGCAAG